UUAAUUAUAUAAGUUUUUAAUUAAAGGGGGGGUGAAAUGCUCAUUUUCACUCAAUCUCCUGUUAAUCUUGAGUACCUAUAGAGUAGUACUGCAUCCUUCAUAUCUCCAAAAAGUCUUUAGUUUUAUUAUAUUUAUAAGAGAAAAAUAGUCUGCAGAUUUUUUUCGGAAAAACACGAGCGUCUGGAGGCGUGACGUGUGGGCGGAGCUAAAGAAUCACGAGCGCGAGUAGGCUUUUGCGUUGAGAGCGUUUGGAAGUUGUGACAUUACCCGGUUUUGGAAAAUGACUAAGUUCCACUUUGUCGUCUUUUUUUUUCUUUAAAGGUGUACAAGGUUUACUUGAUGUGCUUACGCGCCGAUAGCUAAGUUAACAACACAGAGAUAUUUGAAGCAGUUUUAAUGUUACUCACCGCCUGCGGUUCCAACACACGAUCGUGACCCUUUUUCGUUGGGAUUGCAUCAUCCUUAAAUAAACGAUAUGCAAAUCCGGCGUCAAACUGGGCCUUGUUUGUAAAACAAGCAUCUUCGAAAUGCAGGGAACAAACAAAAACACUUGCACAACUCCGUCGACGCUCUGUAAAAAUAAACUCCGUCCACUGGUCCCUUAAUUUUUUUUUUUUUUUUUGGUAAUCUGUGCAGGGUUGUCUUGCCCUCGCAACCAAAAACACACUUCUUUUGUGACAUUUCGCGACGCUCUCGCUCUGAUCAGUGAAUGUCUCUGCUCCGUUCUGCUCUACGGGAGAGCGCGCUCUUCCGGCAGAAGUGCCCUUAGGACCCAUAUAAGGAAAUUCCGCUCCAUCUAACGUCACACAGACCCAUACUCGAAAAAAACUUUCCGAAACUUGUGACAAACCGGAAGGAGUAUUUUUGGAACAAAAAUACUCCUUCAAACGUACAACUUAAUUUUUGAAAAUUUGUCCAUGUUUAGCAUGGGAAUCCAACUCUUUAACAGUGUAAAAAACUCAGUAUACAUGAAAUAGCAUUUCACCCCCCCUUUAAA